rnacentral:rRNA from 1 species
UACGUAGGGUGCAAGCGUUAAUCGGAAUUACUGGGCGUAAAGCGUGCGCAGGCGGUUAUGCAAGACAGAGGUGAAAUCCCCGGGCUCAACCUGGGAACUGCCUUUGUGACUGCAUAGCUAGAGUACGGUAGAGGGGGAUGGAAUUCCGCGUGUAGCAGUGAAAUGCGUAGAUAUGCGGAGGAACACCGAUGGCGAAGGCAGCCUCCUGGGCUAGUACUGACGCUCAUGCACGAAAGCGUGGGGAGCAAACAGG